rnacentral:rRNA from 1 species
CAAGUCGAACGAUGAAGUUCCUUCGGGAAUGGAUUAGUGGCGAACGGGUGAGGAACACGUGAGAAACCUGCCUUUCAUCUGGAUACACGGGAAACCGUGCUAAUACCGGAUACUCCAUCUUGGCGGCAUCGCCGAGCUGGGAAAAAAUCUUGAUGAAAGAUGGUCUCGCGGCCUAUCAGCUAGUUGGUGAGGUAAAGGCUCACCAAGGCGACGACGGGUAGCCGGCCUGAGAGGGCGACCGGCCACACUGGGACUGAGACACGGCCCAGACUCC